UCUUCUAACAACCUUAAUUUACAAUGAAGGAACUGACCCCAAGAGAGGAAAGAUGACCUGCCACUCAUGGAGCAAAUGUCGGGCCAGGCACGGCUACAGAGCACACUCUGUGAAUUAGCCACAUCAUACAACCUCUAUCUUCUCUGAGAAAUGGAAGUUUACCCGGAGCUGGGGAAGGAAGGUGUAGGAAGAUUAAAGUGAAGACAUUCAUCAAGGAACAGAUCUGGCCAACUGCUCCCCAAACUGAACCCGAAACAAAGCCGUGAAAGGCCCCAGUCACAGUGGCUUGGAGUGGGCUGAAGAUGAAGGCUCAGAGCCCGGCUCUUCUUUCUCAGAUCCUGAAAGGCAGCUCUUGCAUGACACAGUGCACCCUUUGAGCUCUGGGCAACUUUACCCUGAGAGUGAGUCUAUCUCUGCAGAAAGGGCUAUGUAACCUCCUGAAGCUCCAAAGCUUUUGGUGAAUGUGCCCAUGAGCACAUCAACUUCGUGAGGGUCUAGUCCAAAGAACUCCGUGAC